UUCUAUUCUAUCUCACCGAAGCGCGGGCUAUAUCGCUAGUGCAUAUAUUAAAAUUUACUAGUUAAUAAUAUAAUUUGACACACUCGAUUGCAGCUCCCAUCGAUAUUCGCAAGCUCAGGGUUCGAAUUAUAGGGCUUUUAAAAAGAGAUCGAGAAGCUUUUUUUCUCAGAAUUCCAAUUUUUCUCCAUUUUGCAGUAUCAACAAUGGCGCCUCUUCCAGCACCUUACUCCGGAACUAGCACUCUAGCUCUGGUAAAUCAUCUAAAUGUUAACUGCACAUCUGAAUAAACUUCUCGUUUGUUUAUUUUUUUUUAAAAUUUUGAAAUAUUUUGGUUGUCGGUGGUUUUGAUCUGCGGCAGGUGGCGCGUGCAUCGGCGUUCACGUUUGGACUUGCUUAUGGUAACAUUAAGCUCAAGUAUCUCAGGGUAUUUUCCUCCCCUUUGAAUUAUUUUUAGUUUUUAUUUUGGAUAAAUACUUAGCGUACUGAAAUGAAAUUGAACUGAAUAAAGCGGAAUUGGUAUAGAUUAUUUAUGUAGGCACGACUGAUUGACCGGUUGAAUUUUCGAUCCGAUGUGUUACUUCAAGGUCCUUAAAUUGUGUGAUUGUUACAACUGGCUGUGAAUUAAAGUACCAGACUUUUAGGGUUUCAUACAAAAUAAAAUUGGCUUUGGAAUAAUGCAGAACACAGAGAAAAGAUUCCCAUGGCCAACCUAGAUAGUUUGGGAUUGAGGUGAAGUUGGUUGAUUGAUCGACUUUUAAAAGUGUCCACCUGGCUCUUAAGAGUUACAUAUAACAUGAAAUGGGCUUAUGAACAGCACGGA
rnacentral:lncRNA from 1 species